GCUUACGGCCAUACCAGCCUGA
rnacentral:rRNA from 2 species